GGCUACAGUGGCCUGGUAGUUAGAGCAUCCGUCUUUGAUGCAGGAGAUCACAGGUUAAAACCCUGGCUGAGUCA